UGAAUACGAGACGCUAAGGCGUCGAAGUAGUGUAUGUCAUACUUCCAAGAAAAGCUUGCACUGUCAUAGAUAAAAAACGCCUGUACCAUAACCGACACAGGUGGGUAGGUAGAGUAUACUAAGGGGCGCGAGAUAACUCUCUCUAAGGAACUCGGCAAAAUAACUCCGUAACUUCGGGAGAAGGAGUGCCUUAUUCUUAAGGUUGCAAUAACAAGAUCCAAGCAACUGUUUAUCAAAAACACAGGUCUCCGCUAAGUCGUAAGACGAUGUAUGGGGGCUGACGCCUGCCCAGUGCCAGAAGGUUAAAGAAGCUGGUUAGCAUUUGCGAAGCUAGUAACUGAAGCCCUGGUGAACGGCGGCCGUAACAAUAACGGUCCUAAGGUAGCGAAAUUCCUUGUCGGGUAAGUUCCGACCCGCACGAAAGGCGUAAUGAUUUGGAUACUGUCUCGGAGAGGGGCUCGGUGAAAUAGACUUGUCUGUGAAGAUGCGGACUACCUGCACCAGGACAGAAAGACCCUAUGAAGCUUUACUGUAACUUGAAAUUGAAAUUGGACUUUAUUCGCGCAGUAUAGGUGGUAGGCGUUGAUUAUAAUCUUGCGGGAUUAUUGGAGCCAUUAGUGAGAUACCACUCUUGUAAUGUUAGAUUUCUAACUUUGAAUCAUUAUCUGGUCAAAGAACAGUUUCAGGCGGGCAGUUUGACUGGGGCGGUCGCCUCCUAAACGGUAACGGAGGCGUACAAAGGUUUCCUCUGAACGGUUAGAAAUCGUAUCUAGAGUGUAAAGGCAUAAGGAAGCUUGACUGUGAGACCUACAAGUCGAGCAGGGACGAAAGUCGGUCUUAGUGAUCUGACGGUACUGAGUGGAAAGGCCGUCACUCAACGGAUAAAAGUUACUCUAGGAUAACAGGCUGAUCUCCCCCAAGAGUUCACAUCGACGGGGAGGUUUGGCACCUCGAUGUCGGCUCAUCGCAUCCUGGGGCGGUAGUACGUCCCAAGGGUUGGGCUGUUCGCCCAUGAAAGCGGUACGCGAGCUGGGUUCAGAACGUCGUGAGACAGUUCGGUCCAUAUCCGGUGUAGGCGUUAGAAUAUUGAGAGGAGCCUUCUUUAGUACGAGAGGACCGAGAAGGACAUACCUCUGGUGUACCAGUUAUCGUGCCAACGGUAAACGCUGGGUAGCUAUGUAUGGAGUGGAUAACCGCUGAAAGCAUCUAAGUGGGAAGCCCACCUCAAGAUAAGUAUUCAC
rnacentral:rRNA from 1 species